UCUUUUUGUCACUUUUCAUUUGAUACAAAUUCCUGAACAAUGCCUGAAGCUAAGGGGAAACACAGAUGAGGGGUUUCUUCUCUCAUCCUGCUACAAGAACAUCACCAGUAAAUCUGGCAUUCAUCAUCUAACCAGUAAAUCUGAAUGAUUUGCUAUAGCUUGCAAGAUUACUUCAGAAGCAACCAUGAGUCUACAACACAAUGACUAAUGGCAGUCAAGUAAAACUAGACCAGCAUUAUCAGAGACAGAGUAGCAAGAGAUUGAUUACUUGCAGAUGGAAGUUGAAGGUGAACAAUUUACAGCUUUCUUAACGACAGGACAAGAGUAGAAUCAAGCAGAGAAGAUAACAUGAACGACACUCUGCACCUCCAUCAGCAGAUCAGUAUCAAAGAUGAAAAAGAAGCUAUGCUAUUGCAGUUGUCGAAGAUUGGUAUACGAUGAACGUGAACAAAUCAGAAACAGAAGAGAACGGCAGUGCUCAUCAGGUGUAACAGCAACUCCAUUUGGAUGGCACUGGCUUCCAGUGGAGUCGCUGUUACUUUCGAUGGGCACUUACAGA